AUUGAACGCUGGCGGCAGGCCUAACACAUGCAAGUCGAACGCGUGGCGGACGGGUGAGUAAUGUCUGGGAAACUGCCUGAUUGAGGGGGAUAACUACUGGAAACGGUAGCUAAUACCGCAUACCAUCGGAUGUGCCCAGAUGGGAUUAGCUAGUAGGUGGGGUAACGGCUCACCUAGGCGAAGAUCCCUAGCUGGUCUGAGAGGAUGACCAGCCACACGGGAACUGAGACACGGCCCAGACUCCUAAGGGAGGCAGCAGUGGGGAAUAUUGCACAAUGGGCGCAAGCCUGAUCCAGCCAUGCCGCGUGUCGGAAGAAGGCCUUCGGGUUGUAAAGUACUUUCAGCGGGGAGGCGGUACCAGCAGAAGAAGAACCGGCUAACUCCGUGCCAGCAGCCGCGGUAAUUC
rnacentral:rRNA from 1 species